GGUCAGCGACUUAUAUUCUGUAGCAAGGUUAACCGUAUAGGGGAGCCGGAGGGAAACCGAGUCUUAAUUGGGCGUUAAGUUGCAGGGUAUAGACCCGAAACCCGGUGAUCUAGCCAUGGGCAGGUUGAAGGUUGGGUAACACUAACUGGAGGACCGAACCGACUAAUGUUGAAAAAUUAGCGGAUGACCUGUGGCUGGGGGUGAAAGGCCAAUCAAACCGGGAGAUAGCUGGUUCUCCCCGAAAGCUAUUUAGGUAGCGCCUCGUGAAUUCAUCUCCGGGGGUAGAGCACUGUUUCGGCUAGGGGGCCAUCCCGGCUUACCAACCCGAUGCAAACUGCGAAUACCGGAGAAUGUUAUCACGGGAGACACACGGCGGGUGCUAACGUCCGUCGUGAAGAGGGAAACAACCCAGACCGCCAGCUAAGGUCCCAAAGUCAUGGUUAAGUGGGAAACGAUGUGGGAAGGCCCAGACAGCCAGGAUGUUGGCUUAGAAGCAGCCAUCAUUUAAAGAAAGCGUAAUAGCUCACUGGUCGAGUCGGCCUGCGCGGAAGAUGUAACGGGGCUAAACCAU
rnacentral:rRNA from 1 species